ensembl:lncRNA
AUCUGAUCUUCGGUCCCUUUAAGGAUUUGCAAGCUGCAAAUGCCACAUUAAAAUAGGAAGAGCUGAAAAUUGCAUUUAAUCUGACAAUGUCAGUCACAGCAAUUACCAAAAUAAAAUUGCUAACUUUGAUAUUUAGUUUUUUUAUUUUAGUAAAGGAUCUUAUCUUGCAGAACCAGGUGGCACUCUUCUGAAAAUGUGGCAAAGCCACAGCAAUGUUUUACUUGGCACUGCUCACCAAGUUUUUAAAAGAGGAAUGAAAAAUACCCACUGUGAGCGUCUAUUUCCACUGAGGGAGUUUGUUAGACUGCAUUUCAACACAAAGUUAAUGUGAGAUAGAAGAACUCUCCUGUGCAUAUGUAUGACUUGUUUGCUCAUUUGGAACUUCAGUGUGCCA